rnacentral:rRNA from 2 species
UGAGGAAUAUUGGUCAAUGGACGAGAGUCUGAACCAGCCAAGUAGCGUGAAGGAUGACUGCCCUAUGGGUUGUAAACUUCUUUUAUACGGGAAUAAAGUUAGCCACGUGUGGCUUUUUGUAUGUACCGUAUGAAUAAGGAUCGGCUAACUCCGUGCCAGCAGCCGCGGUAAUACGGAGGAUCCGAGCGUUAUCCGGAUUUAUUGGGUUUAAAGGGAGCGUAGGCGGGUUGUUAAGUCAGUUGUGAAAGUUUGCGGCUCAACCGUAAAAUUGCAGUUGAUACUGGCGACCUUGAGUGCAACAGAGGUAGGCGGAAUUCGUGGUGUAGCGGUGAAAUGCUUAGAUAUCACGAAGAACUCCGAUUGCGAAGGCAGCUUACUGGAUUGUAACUGACGCUGAUGCUCGAAAGUGUGGGUAUCAAACAGGAUUAGAUACCCUGGUAGUCCACACAGUAAACGAUGAAUACUCGCUGUUGGCGAUAUACGGUCAGCGGCCAAGCGAAAGCAUUAAGUAUUCCACCUGGGGAGUACGCCGGCAACGGUGAAACUCAAAGGAAUUGACGGGGGCCCGCACAAGCGGAGGAACAUGUGGUUUAAUUCGAUGAUACGCGAGGAACCUUACCCGGGCUUAAAUUGCAACUGACUGAACCGGAAACGGCUCUUUCUUCGGACAGUUGUGAAGGUGCUGCAUGGUUGUCGUCAGCUCGUGCCGUGAGGUGUCGGCUUAAGUGCCAUAACGAGCGCAACCCUUAUCGAUAGUUACUAGCAGGUCAUGCUGAGGACUCUAUUGAGACUGCCGUCGUAAGAUGUGAGGAAGGUGGGGAUGACGUCAAAUCAGCACGGCCCUUACGUCCGGGGCUACACACGUGUUACAAUGGGGGGUACAGAAGGCAGCUACACGGCGACGUGGUGCUAAUCCCGAAAGCCUCUCUCAGUUCGGAUUGGAGUCUGCAACCCGACUCCAUGAAGCUGGAUUCGCUAGUAAUCGCGCAUCAGCCACGGCGCGGUGAAUACGUUCCC